AUGGUGUGUGGUAUAAGGAGUGAUCAUAUGGAAUGGGAAUUCCAUAUGAUCAAAGAGGGGAUUGUAAGGAAAUUAUGUCUGUAUCCACACACGUUCACAUAUAUAUAUUAAUUCAGCCUUAUAUGCUUGUAUUAAGUAUACAGAGUUCUUCUUUAAAGGAAAUAUUUUAUACUCUUAUGACAACAAGGUCUAGUAACACAAGCUAUCAGGAAAUGGCUGUCUGAAGCUCAAAACCGCAUGGCUAAAAAGAGAUAUGCAUGCUUUAGCAAAAGAAGGCCACAUUUGUGAUAAAGGUACCUGAAGAGAGAAUUGCCGAAUGCAUGGCAUCAUAGCUGCAGAAACAUAUAUAUGCAUAUAUGUGUUUUACACAUAUAUUUAACAUGUGCAUUAGACAUAUAUUUUACAUUUACUGCAAUACGAGUUAUAUAUAUAAGCAUCUUGUAUAUUGACCUUCACCUGUGGUUUAGAUAAGUGAAAGACGUUGUAUCAGGUAAAUGUUGGUACAAAAUAAACAAAGAUAAUUCCGCGAAAUAUUUGAACAAAGCUAAAAUCAACAAAGAUUGUGGUUAGAUAUCUGAAUUCUAAGAAUUAUAAAUGCGUCACAUAUGUACCUUGUUUCUAGGAAAUUAUCAUGACUUUUUCACUGUGGCAGUAUAAA